CGCUGGCGGCACGCUUAACACAGUGCAAGUCGAACGGAGUUUGGAGCUUGCUCCAAACGUUAGUGGCGGACGGGUGAGUAACACGUGAGCAACCUACCUCUGAGAGCGGAAUAGCUUCUGGAAACGGAUGGUAAUACCGCAUGACAUUGUGAAGCCGCAUGACUUUACAAUCAAAUGAAUUUCGCUCAGAGAUGGGCUCGCGCCUGAUUAGCUAGAUGGUGAGGUAACGGCCCACCAUGGCGACGAUCAGUAGCCGGACUGAGAGGUUGAACGGCCACAUUGGGACUGAGACACGGCCCAGACUCCUACGGGAGGCAGCAGUGGGGAAUAUUGCACAAUGGGCGAAAGCCUGAAUGCAGCGAUGCCGCGUGGAGGAAGAAGGUUUUCGGAUUGUAAACUCCUUUUUCAGGGACGAUAAUGACGGUACCUGAAGAAGAAGCUCCGGCUAACUACGUGCCAGCAGCCGC
rnacentral:rRNA from 1 species